rnacentral:rRNA from 1 species
GUCCUUUAGAUUUAAAUUAAAGGUCUAACCUGCCCACUGAAAAAGUUUGAAUGGCCGCAGUAAAUUGACUGUGCAAAGGUAGCAUAAUCAAUAGUUUUUUAAUUAAAAGCUUGUAUGAAUGGUUGGACGAGAUAAAAUCUGUCUUUAAUUAAAAAAUAGAAUUUAAUUUUUAAGUUAAAAAGCUUAAAUUUUAUUAAAAGACGAGAAGACCCUAUAGAUCUUUAUAAUAAAUUAUUUAUUUUUAUUAAGGAUUAUUUAGUUAUUUUAGUUGAUUUAUUAUUUUAUUGGGGUAAUAUUAAGAUUGAAUUAAUUCUUUUUUGAGAAAACAUUUAUUUUUGGUUAAUUGAUCCAUUAUUAGUGAUUAUAAGAUUAAGUUACCUUAGGGAUAACAGCGUAAUUUUUUUAGAGAGUUCUUAUCGAUAAAAAAGUUUGCGACCUCGAUGUUGGAUUAAAAGUUAUUCUAGGUGUAGUAGUUUAGAGUUUUGGUCUGUUCGACCAUUAAAUUUUUACAUGAUCUGAGUUCAGACCGGUGUAAGCCAGGUCGGUUUCUAUCUUUAGUUAAUUAAAAUAUUUUAGUACGAAAGGACCAAGUAUUUGAUAUAUAGGAUAUUUUUAUUUUGAAUAU